rnacentral:rRNA from 1 species
GACGAACGCUGGCGGCGUGCUUAACACAUGCAAGUCGAACGGAAAGGCCCUGCUUUUGUGGGGUGCUCGAGUGGCGAACGGGUGAGUAACACGUGAGUAACCUGCCCUUGACUUUGGGAUAACUUCAGGAAACUGGGGCUAAUACCGGAUAGGAGCUCCUGCUGCAUGGUGGGGGUUGGAAAGUUUCGGCGGUUGGGGAUGGACUCGCGGCUUAUCAGCUUGUUGGUGGGGUAGUGGCUUACCAAGGCUUUGACGGGUAGCCGGCCUGAGAGGGUGACCGGCCACAUUGGGACUGAGAUACGGCCCAGACUCCUACGGGAGGCAGCAGUGGGGAAUAUUGCACAAUGGGCGGAAGCCUGAUGCAGCAACGCCGCGUGCGGGAUGACGGCCUUCGGGUUGUAAACCGCUUUCGCCUGUGACGAAGCGUGAGUGACGGUAAUGGGUAAAGAAGCACCGGCUAACUACGUGCCAGCAGCCGCGGUGAUACGUAGGGUGCGAGCGUUGUCCGGAUUUAUUGGGCGUAAAGGGCUCGUAGGUGGUUGAUCGCGUCGGAAGUGUAAUCUUGGGGCUUAACCCUGAGCGUGCUUUCGAUACGGGUUGACUUGAGGAAGGUAGGGGAGAAUGGAAUUCCUGGUGGAGCGGUGGAAUGCGCAGAUAUCAGGAGGAACACCAGUGGCGAAGGCGGUUCUCUGGGCCUUUCCUGACGCUGAGGAGCGAAAGCGUGGGGAGCGAACAGGCUUAGAUACCCUGGUAGUCCACGCUGUAAACGGUGGGUACUAGGUGUGGGGUCCAUUCCACGGGUUCCGUGCCGUAGCUAACGCUUUAAGUACCCCGCCUGGGGAGUACGGCCGCAAGGCUAAAACUCAAAGGAAUUGACGGGGCCCCGCACAAGCGGCGGAGCAUGCGGAUUAAUUCGAUGCAACGCGUAGAACCUUACCUGGGUUUGACAUGGAUCGGGAGUGCUCAGAGAUGGGUGUGCCUCUUUUGGGGUCGGUUCACAGGUGGUGCAUGCCUGUCGUCAGCUCGUGUCGUGAGAUGUUGGGUUAAGUCCCGCAACGAGCGCAACCCUUGUUCACUGUUGCCAGCACGUUAUGGUGGGGACUCAGUGGAGACCGCCGGGGUCAACUCGGAGGAAGGUGGGGAUGGCGUCAAGUCAUCAUGCCCCUUAUGUCCAGGGCUUCACGCAUGCUACAAUGGCUGGUACAGAGAGUGGCGAGCCUGUGAGGGUGAGCGAAUCUCGGAAAGCCGGUCUCAGUUCGGAUUGGGGUCUGCAACUCGACCUCAUGAAGUCGGAGUCGCUAGUAAUCGCAGAUCAGCAACGCUGCGGUGAAUACGUUCCCGGGGCU